rnacentral:rRNA from 1 species
UACGUAGGGGGCGAGCGUUGUCCGGAUUUACUGGGCGUAAAGAGCGCGUAGGCGGAAAUUUAAGCGUGGCCUGAAAGCCCCCGGCUCAACCGGGGAGUGCGGCUGCGAACUGGGUUUCUUGAGGACGAUAGAGGAGAGUGGAAUUCCUGGUGUAGCGGUGAAAUGCGUAGAUAUCAGGAGGAACACCCGAGGCGAAGGCGGCUCUCUGGGCCAUUACUGACGCUGAGGAGCGAAAGCGUGGGGAGCGAACAGG